ACACUACAAAGUUGGGAAGCGAUUAGAUAAGUAAAUUCUUCAAAAAAAUUCACGAAAAUUCUCUUAUUUUUAGCGUUCUAUAGUGCUUUCCCCCCUUAAGUUUAAUUUAUAAAAAACAAAAAACAUCAGAAAUAGAAAUUAAAGAUUCGAAAUCUAUCGGGUGACAGAUUUCCACAUGAUUUCGCAGAAACAAAAAAUACUUGGCUCGUGUAACUAAUUUUCUCUUAUCUGAGAACCACAUAUACAGAUGAAAACUUCAUUGUAGAAAUAGAGAGAUUUCAGUUGUCGUCGUCCGUUGUCUUAAUCGAGUUUUAACGCCGAAUGUCCAAAGAUAUGUUUCCGGUCAGGAUAUCGGAGAUAUCAUUUCUGGGUCAUGAAUUAUCGUCUAGUCUCUAUUCGGUUACAUAAACUAAAGUCUUUUUGCUAUGCACAAAUACGAGAGUGGGAACGUCAGCGAUAUAAUUUAUGCGUUUCAAAAUUAGGGUCAUGUAAACGCCAAACAAGAAAAUCGCAUCUUGCUUUUGUCGCAAAAUCAUGGCGCCAGUUUCGUCAGAAACGCGACAAUGUGAAGGAAAAUACGGCGGACGACUAUUCUGCGGGCACUCCUACGUAAAUAGCCAAUCGAGUUUCGCCUUCAUUCGCGCGCGAUGUCACGUCGCUCGCAGACUUACGUAGUAAUUUUCUAUUUUUAGCGGAAUAAAUAGCCCGAUGAUGUUGCACGAGGCGUCGUAAUUCUCGCCGUAACUUUCGUUAGAUAAAGAGAAACAUAUCUCCUCUCUCGCGGUAACGACAACGUGACGUGCCUCCAGGCAUACCCACCCAAUCGACCAAUCAUGCGCCACAGCGCGACCGAGUGUUCUCCUUCGUCGUCGUUACGAGUCCCAGUAAAGGUGAACCCAUUGUAGAACUACUUAGCGUAAAAAGUGCAAUGGGAAUUAGAAUUUACUGUUCUUUUUCUGCCAAGAGAUUCUGACGCUCUGAUUGUUCCACUCACAGGCAGACUUUUAAACAUCUCGGUCACGUGCAAAAAUAAAUCGUGUUAAGUCCCAGACUCUUGAGAGAAUCGCAAAGUCGAUUAUUUACCCGGAUUGAAUUGACAACUCACUCGUUACUUAAACGGAACUCAUUGGUAGGUUUACGGACGAGAAAUGUGCACGCAACCCGCGAGCGAUGCGAACCCCUGUCUCGGUCGAUACCGUCGUGGAUUUACGUCACCGUAGACGCACGAUCGAAAGUGAAAAUCCACCUGUUGAAAAUGUCAUAUUAAAUCACACGCGAAUAAUGCUGCAUGAUAUUGCACGCAAUUAGUUUAAAUUUUUUUCUUUUUCUCAGAUUUGACUCUUGGCUGAGGUAGUAUUUUCUACAACAUAAAAUGGAGCCAAUUAAUACGUCAAUCAAUAGUUAGUUGAUAUAAGAAUGUGAGGAGAGGGAAAUUUAUCGUCUUAAUUGGGAAUUAAAGGUAAGUUUGAACAGGUAAAAUAAAGUUCACUGAGUACGUUUGGAAAUAAAAAACGAAGAAUAAUUCGAUGAGUGCGUCUAACUUGCUUCAAACAAGAUUCUUAAGUGAAUUAUUCUAUUUAACAUAGAACGUACUAAAAAACCGCGAUUUACAGAUUAUAUUCUCUUCACGUUAAAUAGUUUUCUUUCUUUUUUUGUGUUAAAGUAUGUGCGGCCUACCUUAUUCUGUGAAAAGUUUUGGACCCAAAUUAGUUACCCAAAUUAGAACCCAAAUUAUUUUGUAGUUUUUAGCGAUUACGAAUAUGAAAUGUUCGAAGGUGGAACUGACGUUCCAGAGAAAAUGACCCAUUCAAAAUUACACCCCACCAGAUAGCGUCACUUAUUUUCAUAAAAUAAAAAUGUUGAUUUGCCAUACAAUUUAUUUCUCGACAGCGUUUGACUUUACUGGUGGUUUCAAAAUGUAAUCAAACGAACCAAUUAAUUCAGUUUGGCCGUGCCAACUGUUUGAGAAUCUAUUGGAAUCUGUCGGACGCUUUUGAAAUUCAACUCAGUCAUCCUUUUUCUAGGGACGACACCUGAAACUGUCGCUGUGAUUCACUGAAGAUGAUUUCGUCAUUGCAAUUUGCUAUCUAGUUUUACUUUUUAUUGUAAAAAUAAAUGGUGCUAAGUGCAAUUUUAAAUGAGCCAUUUUCUCUGAAAUGGGUACGUCGGCCCACCUUCGGACUUGCAUAUUCGUAAUGCAAUACCAAAAACUAUAAAAUAGAUAUAAAAGACCAAUCUGAAUUCAAAACUUUUUUGUGAAUAAAGUAGGCCGCAUAUUUUAACAGAAAAAAGGAAGAAAACACAAUCUAACGUGAAAAAAGUGGUUCGUAAAUCGCGGUUCUUUGGUGCGUUCUAUGUAAAAUAGAAUAAUUCACGAAAAUAGCCUAUAGGUAUUUCGCCGUACUCUUUCACACAUAGAUGAAAAUCAGGGAAAUAUUUCACCGCCAUGUACAAUAAACGACACAGCUUUACAUGAAAAAGAAUGACUCAUAAGUCGAAUUAAAUCGGAGGAAAUUUAAUCUUGCAGUGCAAAAGUUACGAGUUAAUUUAUCAGAAUCGAAAUAAUUCAUUAGGAUUGGUAUUACACAAUGAUUAUAUUCUUUUUUAAGCGGUACGUGGUGCUUAAAAAAGAAAGCAUAUUAAUCAAAUGUUUAGAAUUCCAUUCAGGUCAAAUGUGCGCGGACACGCGCAUUACGAGCGUACAACGCGUUCUGAGUAUUGCGUCACGCGCGGGCAAACUUCAUCUAUUAUGUCUCGUUGCACCCAAUGGCGUAACUGACUGUUUCAUAUGACAGUGUUUUAAUAUAAGAAAGAAGCAGGAGCUGGAAGAAAGGAAUGAGAAGGAGAAGAAGGAGUAGAACAUCGCAAGAGAGAUAUAUUUUUCCUGUUAGUGUAUACUUUAUAUAAAAUUGAACUUAGGACAAGAUUGGGGAGACGAUAAAUGAUCAAAAUUUAGAACAUUGUUGAAAGAUGUGAGAUUAAAAGAGUUUAUUGAAUAUUAGUUACGCCGCUGCUUGCAACGACACGGAUAUUGGCGAAACUAUUGCUUGCGGUUGCGACGAUCGGAUCAGCCGUGACGUAAAACGAUCGUUGCACUAAAUAAUGCUGAAUGCAUAAUAAAAACAUUGACACAACCACGGUGCAUAGGCGCGUUUUUCACCAGUAUCUUAUUAAAAAACCGAGAAAGUGAAGUGUAAACAUAUCACUGGAUAAAUUCAUCGCGAUUGCGUAACUCUCGAGUGACGCCUAAAUCUUGAUCGGACGAGAAGUGCGCGACAAUUCGAAGCGACACAAAGAUAAUGAUGGAAAGUAAACAAACUCGCAGACGAUUGGCUUCAUACAGAUCAUAUAUUAUCGAGAAAAAGGAAAUGUUUAAAAAUUUAUUUGUGAAAUAGAAGUUUACGCUUCGCAGAAAUAAACUUUAUUUCACAGAAAUAUACUUUGUAUCCCACAAAUAAAUUUUCAGGUGCAAGCUUCGUCUCAUCGUGCGAAGAAAGGCGAGGAAAGAGAAAAGCGCGGGAAGAAAACUUGUUUUUUGUGACAUACGGAAUUCUUCCCCACGAUAAUUAUCCCAGACGUCGGCCUACGCUCCGGGAAAAUUCCCGAACGCGGUAUCACACAAGAGCACGGGCGUUUGCGCGUCCAUUAAAACAGUUGACAAUAUUCGGCGUUUCCACAACGGCGAGUAGCCAACAGGCGAACCACAGGGUCUAGUGUGUAUCCCGCCAAACACUUUCCUCGUUUCGAACGGGUCUAUAGGUGAGUGGACAUCGCGUCAUCGUAUUCAACAUUUUCCAUCCCGUCGCGGAGACCUGCGUGUUACGUAAGAAUAAUUUUCCGAUUGUGACAGAAACCGGUCGGAAACCGAUUUUUAUAGUGUGCAUAAUGUGAACAGGCUUGGAAUAUUUACAUAUAAUGACACGCGAGAGACAUGCCUUGAGCGAAAUAUCGUUUCAAAAUGCAACGGGGUGCAUCGUUGAUGUGAUCGCGCUCUUUAAACGCGACCGUGCACUGCUAUUUGUAUUUUACCGCGACGCGUUACAUAUGUCUCGGAUACGAGACACCAUCUCGUAACUGAAAUUAAACGCGGGUCCUGCGUAUAACGGCAUUUACAUAGUCCGCGAAACGCGAGCGCGUGUGUCGCCUCGAAUAACCGCGAUUUCAACACCGCCCUAAAAAUAGAGUGUUUCUAUCGUACGUUUUUCAAUAUAGAUAUUCCCAUUCGUGAUAUGGCGCACUCUGCGCGAAAUGCAUCUGGCGCGUCUCUGGACGUUAAUAAGCGUAUAUCAAUAUCGUUCUCAGCGGCAACGACCAUCUCUUUCUCUCAUGUGAAUCGUUUGGCUCACGUUUAAUUACGCGAGAGAUACGCGAAGAUUUGUCCUCGCGCGAAAAAGAGCGAACUUCGCUCGCUCGUUCUUGUUUCUUCAUUCAAUGAACGUAUCGUGACAAAGACUCACCUUCCGCGCCGACAGCGGUAUGGUCGUCUCUCUGGUGUAUAUCGGAACAUCGAGGUCGCUGACGCUGCUGCUGAUGCUGGGCGCGCGUGAAUCCGAACGUCCACCGAGCGGCACCGACAGAUGCGUCGGCCUCAGCGGGUGCGACUCCGCGAUGUAGCCCUCGCCAAAGUCCUCGUCCUCUCGGUUCAUCUGUCCCAAAAACGCGAGUUUGCAAUUAGAAGCAAAGGUCACGCGUCACAAAGUCACAUAUUCCUUCUAUCUCUCGUUCUCACUCUCGCUCUUUUCGAAUAUUAUCCGACAUAAGACAAAACAGAAUAUGUAAUACACAACGAGAUAAAUCACGUGUUUAUAAAAAAAAAAUAUAUAUAUAUAUAUAUAUAUAUAUAUA